rnacentral:lncRNA from 1 species
GCUGAAGAUUUCCGUCUGAUGUCACCAGGCCCCAUCUGACUCCACGCAUAAGAAACCAGCGUCAGUCCCCUCGUGUGCCAGGACCUGCUGGCCUUCAUUUAUCUGAGCGUCUGGCUGCGAGCUCCUGAGAGUCUUCGAUGGAAACAAACUGACCUUGGCUUACAAGGAAACCGAGUCCC